UACGUAGGGGGCAAGCGUUGUCCGGAUUUAUUGGGCGUAAAGGGCUCGCAGGCGGCUCGAUCAAGUCGUGCGUGAAAUCUCUCGGCUCAACUGGGAGCGGUCGUGCGAUACUGAUCAGCUCGAGGCCGGUAGGGGGAAGCGGAAUUCCGGGUGUAGUGGUGGAACGCGUAGAUAUCCGGAGGAACACCAGUGGCGAAGGCGGCUUCCUGGACCGGUCCUGACGCUCAGGAGCGAAAGCGU
rnacentral:rRNA from 1 species